rnacentral:rRNA from 1 species
CCUACGGGCGGCAGCAGUGGGGAAUAUUGGACAAUGGGCGAAAGCCUGAUCCAGCCAUGCCGCGUGUGUGAAGAAGGCCUUCGGGUUGUAAAGCACUUUCAGUGGGGAAGAAAGCCUUGGGGCUAAUACCCUCGAGGAAGGACAUCACCCACAGAAGAAGCACCGGCUAACUCCGUGCCAGCAGCCGCGGUAAUACGGAGGGUGCGAGCGUUAAUCGGAAUUACUGGGCGUAAAGCGCGCGUAGGCGGUCUGAUAAGCCGGUUGUGAAAGCCCCGGGCUCAACCUGGGAACGGCAUCCGGAACUGUCAGGCUAGAGUGCAGGAGAGGAAGGUAGAAUUCCCGGUGUAGCGGUGAAAUGCGUAGAGAUCGGGAGGAAUGCCAGUGGCGAAGGCGGCCUUCUGGACUGACACUGACGCUGAGGUGCGAAAGCGUGGGUAGCAAACAGGAUUAGAUACCCCUGUAGUC